rnacentral:rRNA from 1 species
AUUGAACGCUGGCGGCAGGCCUAACACAUGCAAGUCGAACGAGUGGCGGACGGGUGAGUAAUGUCUGGGAAACUGCCCGAUGGAGGGGGAUCACUACUGGAAACGGUAGCUAAUACCGCAUACCAUCGGAUGUGCCCAGAUGGGGUUAGCUAGUAGGUGUGGUAACGGCUCACAUAGGCGACGCUCCCUAGAUGGGAGGCGAGGAUGACCAGCCACACUGUAACUGAGACACGGGCCAGACUCCGACGGGAGGUAGCAGUGGGGAAUAUUGCACAAGGGGCGCAAGCCUGAUGCAGCCAUGCCGCGUGUAUGAAGAAGGCCUUCGGGUUGUAAAGUACUUUCAGCGAGGAGGCGUUACUCGCAGAAGAAGCCCCGGCUAACUACGUGCCAGCAGCCGCGGUAAUUC